GACGAACGCUGGCGGCGUGCUUAACACAUGCAAGUCGAACGGAAAGGCCCUGCUUUUGUGGGGUGCUCGAGUGGCGAACGGGUGAGUAACACGUGAGUAACCUGCCCUUGACUUUGGGAUAACUUCAGGAAACUGGGGCUAAUACCGGAUAGGAGCUCCUGCUGCAUGGUGGGGGUUGGAAAGUUUCGGCGGUUGGGGAUGGACCCGCGGCUUAUCAGCCUGUUGGUGGGGUAGUGGCUUACCAAGGCUUUGACGGGUAGCCGGCCUGAGAGGGUGACCGGCCACAUUGGGACUGAGAUACGGCCCAGACUCCUACGGGAGGCAGCAGUGGCGAAUAUUGCACAAUGGGCGGAAGCCUGAUGCAGCAACGCCGCGUGCGGGAUAACGGCCUUCGGGUUGUAAGCCGCUUUCGCCUGUGACGAAGCGUGAGUGACGGUAAUGGGUAAAGAAGCACCGGCUAACUACGUG
rnacentral:rRNA from 1 species